UACGUAGGGUGCGAGCGUUAAUCGGAAUUACUGGGCGUAAAGCGUGCGCAGGCGGUUCGUUAAGUCAGAUGUGAAAGCCCCGGGCUCAACCUGGGAACUGCAUUUGAAACUGGCGGGCUUGAGUAUGGCAGAGGGGGGUGGAAUUCCGCGUGUAGCAGUGAAAUGCGUAGAGAUCAGGAGGAAUACCGGUGGCGAAAGCGACUCUCUGGACGGCAACUGACGCUGAGGCACGAAAGCGUGGGGAGCAAACAGG
rnacentral:rRNA from 1 species